AUCGAAAUCGAACUGUCAACUGUCAGCGACAUUUUGUUUCUUGUUGCAUGUUCUUUACGUUUUAUUAGUGAAAUAGUUAAUUUAAUUAUAACAAUAUGGGUAGAUCUCGUUCAAGAAGCAGAACUCCAAAGAAACACCAUAAAAGUAAACAUCACAAAAGGAGCAAGUCCAGGGAUCGAUCCGAACGAAGUGUUAGUAUACAUAAACGACACAAAAGCUCCGAACGUUCGGAUAGAAUCAAAGAAAAAAUCAUGAAAAUCAGGAAAAGAAGUGAUUCACAAUCAUCAUCCUCAAGUAGCAACGCGUCUAUAGAUAGAGUGGACAGACGUAAACAUAAAUAUAAAAAGAUGGACGAGGUCGAGCGACUGGCAGAAAUGGAGAGACAGAGACGACAGAGGGAGGCUGAAGAGCGACUCGUUGAGGAAAAAGCGGCCAAAAGGAUAGAGGAACUGGUCAAGAAACGUGUGGAAGAGGAACUGAGCAAACGAAGGGACGAAAUCGAAAAAGAGGUAGCCAAGCGGGUGGAAGAGGCCAAGAGAAUCAUGGAGAAGCAAAUGAUGGAAGACCUGGAACGACGGCGCGAGAAACAGAGGGAAGAAGAAAGAAGAAGAGAGCUGGUUAUAAAGCUAAAGUGCGGCCAUCCAAGCGAACCGAGUACUCAUCACGGCAACGACGUACGGUGGUGGACACCUCAUCGUAGCAGGAGGAAGAGCGGAUAAAGCACGAGGAGGUGCAGCGAAUUUUAGAAGAGAACCAGCGCAAAAUAGAGGAGGCUCAGAAAAAAUUGGAUGAAGAAAGACUGGCGAUGGUGGAAGAACAGCGAAAAAUAGACGAAGAGCGUAGAAGACUGGAGAAAGAACAGGAAAAACGGACUAAAGAAGAACAGAAGAAGAUCUUGGGAAAGAACAAUUCGAGACCCAAGUUGUCGUUUUCGUUAAAACCGGUGUUGUAGUGAUAGUGUGUUUUUUACAGUGCUGGUGAUAAAAACAUUUAAAGGUUCUUUUUAAUCUAAAAUAGACUUCCAUACGAACUUAAGAAAUUUAAAUCAAAUUUUAUUUAGGGAUAUUUAUACAGAUAAGAUGUAUAUAUUGAUUAAUAAAACAUUUUUGUAUAUA